AUUUAAGGUAAAUGUCCCCAUGGCCGACCAUGUUCCCUCUACCGACUUUUUUGACGUGAAACGUUGUUUACGAGGCUGCUGAUUCAACAACACGUUCAUUAGUGCAGUGGAAAAAUUCAGGAAUUCGUGCAGUACAAAAUAAUUAUAACGUGCAGAGUAAGUACAAUAGUUAAAUAUAUUUUUUUUCGCAUUUCUUGCCGCACGUCACCAUCCACGCGUAUUCUUAAGAGUGAGGUUAGGAAUUGUCGGUCGCCUAAAUAGUCCGUAUUUCGUUCAAAAUCCUUUUGUAAGGAAUAAUCCGAGCGCUAAAUGGUUUGUUACAAUUUGAUUGCCAUAUUCGAAAAAAAAAAUUAGUCAAAAACUGUCAUUUUUUUUAUUUAUUCGAUGGUCGAGGUCAGACACAGCAAAACGCCUGCAUGUCCCCAGUACCAUACACGUAAACGUCAGUAUCAUCGAAGCUGCGGAAGCCGACGGCUGCGGUGAGGUUAUCCGCUUAGAGGCAGUACUAUGUGGGAUCUCGGUAGUCGCGGCGCCGUGGUGUUGAGUGUGACGUGUGGGUGCGUGCUGAUAUACAACGCCUGCUCGUCAACGACAGUCUGCUGUCGCCGCACGCGUAUCACGUUCUCGGUUACCUGCGGGAGGCGAUUCACGAGCUCGGCGCGGCCCUCCGUGUCGUCCACGUCCACGGUACCGGUUACGUGCGUAAGCUCUGGCACAGUGCGAGCCGUUGUUACCGCGAGCGUUUCCCUUCGUUCAGGAUGGACAGGCGACGCGCGAGCAAUUAUCAGCUCAGCAGCGACUCGUACGCUGCCAAGCGCGGAGAGUCGCCGUCGUUACCGUCAUCGCCAUCGUCGUCGUCGUCGUCGUCCAGGUAAUCGGUAAUGGGGACAUGCCCGGUCAAAAUUGGACACAGCUGGUCGGUAGAGAGGGCACGCACUAGUGCGCCUUUAUUCUUCUCUAUCUAGAAAAAUACUUGACGGAAUGGAUUGAGCCUACGAUUUUUGGAAAGUGCAUGGAUGAAGCUAUCCACCAGUAUGAAACUCUUUAUCGAAUUUAUUUUUGUCACGCUUGACAACGCCAUUCUUUUGUUGGGUCGGCCUUAUAGGUGUCGGCCAUAGGGACAUUUACCUUAUUUAUG